rnacentral:lncRNA from 1 species
UUUACAUCUGGAUAUCAUCACAAAAGUGUUAUUGAAGGCAACAAUUGCAAGUAUAUGUGCAGUGCUUUGCACUUAUACAAAGAUACAAAGAUACACAAAGAUUGAGUUUUUCACUAUUUAAAGCAAUUUUCAGAUGAAAUACAAAGUUUUCUGGGUCUCUUUGUUUAGUCAAGUACUUGGAAGCUCUGAACAGUGAUUAUUUAGGACUCUUUUCAUACCAUUUAAUUGCAGGCUCUCCUAAUCUCUGUCAGACCUUCACCUUUAUGACCUUGCCUUAUCUACCAGAACACAGAUCCCUCUUACUAAAGGUAACAUUGUGUUACAGGCCCUAGCAGGGAAUGUUUUCAGGUCUGGGACCCCUCUAAUCAAAACUGUCACAAAGAUGUCAUUGGCACAAACAUGUUAUUUGUCAUCACUUUCUAAGCAGCCCUGGAACUGGACUCUGGCCACAGAGAUCAUUUAGGAGACAUGAGUCCUUACCAUUGCCAAUUGCCUGUUCUGUAGACAAUCCUAAUUGUUGAAUGCAGAUCAAUUAACUAAUGAUAUGUGAUAGUAAACAUCUGUCCAAACUUAGGAGAAUAUAAGAAGCCAGUAAAAGAGGUGGGUUCCAAUUAAUUAAAAACAAGUUGUGUAAUGUUAAAAGUUUUAAUACUUUGAUAAUAGUCUGUGCAAUGUAAAAUAGCUAUUAAGCUUUCAGUCUGAUCAAAUGAACACUUGUCUACUAGGGAUAAUUUGAUCCUAGUGUAUUCACUUGGAGGACAAAAUUAAAUGAAUGAUUUCUUUAUUGCCUAGCAGGAUCUGAUGUGUAAAAUGUUUCUGAAAUAAUUUUUUCUGUAGUGUUUCUGACACAAGGGCUGCGGAGGAAGCAUAUGAUAGCACUUACUCAUAUAGAUUAUAUAUAUGAAUUAAAAACACAUAGCCAGAACCUGUCUUUUUCUGAAUAUAGUUGCUCAGUUAAUUUUUUCUUCUGCAUAAGAAAUCAUCUCAAAUAUUCUUAUGUGAUACGUAAAGUGGGGAAGGUGGAAGAUAAACAUAUAACCCAUUGGAUUCUCUUUUCCAAUAUCUAGAUUAGAUCCUGUGCUGAAAGAGAAACCAAGAAAAAAGAUGACAUUCCAGAAGAAGACAAAGGAAAUAUAAAACAAUGUGAAAUCAAUUACGUGUGUGUAUGCUUUUCCUUUUAGACCUACAGAUUUGACAGUGAAGUGCUUCUCAAAGUGCUUUCAAAAUAAAUUACCUAAUUAGCUGGGGAUGGUGGUGCAUGCCUGUAGGCCCAGCUACUUGGGAGGCUGAGACAGGAGGAUUGUUUGAGCCCAGGAGUUCAAGGCUGCAGUGAGCUCUGAUCACCACUGCAUUCCAGCCUGGGUGACAGAGCAAGAUCCCGUCUGAAAAAAUAAAAACUGAUGGACAAGAAGAAGCAACACGAUGUAGCCUCUAGGACAGAGCACUGAGCUAAAUUCUUUUCUUUUCUUGAGGGUUCAGUUUUCCUAAUCAUCCUACCAGCUCCCAAAGGUACUCAGUCGGGUUAGUCAACCUCUCUAUUCAUUCAUAGAAUGGGCGUGAUGCCAGUCAAAGGCUGUUCUCUGGCUAGGACACAGGGGACUCCAGCCAGCAUGCCCUAAUAGAAGUGGGGCUUUGUGCUACCCAGUCAAUGAGUGGCCCUCCUCUUGAGAGGUCACAAAGUUCAUCUUGUUGUUCAAAAGCUCCAGCUUAUUAAAAAAAAUGUACAAUUAGACUUUUUUUUUUUCUCCCCCAAGACGGAGUCUCGCUCUGUCCCCCAGAUUGUAGUGCUGUGCCAUGAUCUCAGCUCAUCGCAACCUCCGCCUCCCAGGUUCAUGUGAUUCUCCUGCCUCAGCCUCCCGAGUAGCUGGGACUACAGGCACAAGCCACUGCCCUCGGCCAAUUUUUGUAUUUUUAGUAGAGACGGGGUUUCACCAUGUUGGCCAGGCUGUUCUCGAACUCCUGACCUCAAGUGAUCUGCCUGCCUUGGCCUCCCAAAGUGCUGGGAUUGCAGGCGUGAGCCACUGCGCCUGCCCUACAAUUAGACUUUUUUAAUAAGUGAAAAAGAAAUUAACAGUAUUUAUAAAUUUAAUAGUAAAUAUGUAUAAUCAGAGUUUGAGGUAUUUUUCAAUGAAGACAUUUUCUUUGCAGAAAGAAAUUUCAGAGCUUCCAAGACCACAAACUUAAAAUAAGUAAAGAAGAGAGUAAAAUUCUUAAAAAGGCUCAGAAAGAUGGAUUUUUGCAUGAAACGCUUCUGGACAGAGAACCAAAUUGAAAGCCGACAGAUACUGCAGAUGACUGGGAUUUUUGUUUCUGUCUUACCUUUUUGUGUUUUUUUUCUGAAUAAAAUAUUCAGAGGAAAUGCUUUUACAGAGUUCUUGAGUUGUUGUGAAAUUAUUGUUUAGCUAGUAGCUAGUAUAACCAGGAUUAAACAAGUUUAAUCAGGAUUCUUCAUGGAUGUACUUUUUAG